UGAUAUAUUUAGCAAUUAUUCACCGAAGUGGAGGUAAAUAAUUGUUUUAGUAUAUACCACCCAAAUUGAAUAAAUUGCGGACCGAUA